rnacentral:rRNA from 1 species
UUGAGCGAUUUACUUCGGUAAAGAGCGGCGGACGGGUGAGUAACGCGUGGGUAACCUACCCUGUACACACGGAUAACAUACUGAAAGGUAUGCUAAUACGGGAUAAUAUAUUUGAGAGGCAUCUCUUGAAUAUCAAAGGUGAGCCAGUACAGGAUGGACCCGCGUCUGAUUAGCUAGUUGGUAAGGUAACGGCUUACCAAGGCGACGAU